UUUUUUAGUUAGUUGUAAUUCUUGGCUGAAUAUCUCUAGCAGGUUUUAAAAGCCCUUUAAAAUUAAAUAUGAACACAGUUUGGAUUAAAUAAAAGUACAGUCAAAUUUUAUCUCCUGUAUAGACUUUACUGUACAGUGACUUAAUGUUUUCUAACUGUAUUCAUAUUUAA